CAGCCUUGAGAUUAGUUGUAUGCAGGCUGUCGUCCGAUCAGAGCGACGAGAAAAAUAAACUUCAUCAGGUAUUGGUCUUUGUGUUUCAGAUUGGCAUAUCGAAUAACAGCAAUUCCUUGUGAACUAUGCAACCUUCGUUGAGAAACAUGAAAGAACUGGUCGAAAGCUUCGUCAAGGGUCCCUCACGGGAUGGAUCAUCUCAAAUGGAGAUCCUGUUGCCAGCAGAGAAAGAAUUCCUUAACGCUGCUAAAAGCAAUGAUAUCAAUACUUUGUCAAGAUGCUUAAACAAGAAGGUCGAGAUUAAUAUUAAGACUGAAUUAGGUCGCACCGCC